rnacentral:rRNA from 1 species
UACGAAGGGGGCUAGCGUUGUUCGGAAUUACUGGGCGUAAAGGGCGCGUAGGCGGUACUUCAAGUCAGGCGUGAAAGCCCCGGGCUCAACCUGGGAGCCGCGCUUGAGACUGGAGAACUAGAGUUCGGGAGAGGAUGGUGGAAUUCCCAGUGUAGAGGUGAAAUUCGUAGAUAUUGGGAAGAACACCGAUGGCGAAGGCAGCCAUCUGGACCGACACUGACGCUGAGGCGCGAAAGCGUGGGGAGCAAACAGG